UACGAAGGGGACUAGCGUUGUUCGGAAUCACUGGGCGUAAAGCGCACGUAGGCGGAUUUGUUAGUCAGGGGUGAAAUCCCGGGGCUCAACCUCGGAACUGCCUUUGAUACUGCAAGUCUCGAGUCCGAUAGAGGUGGGUGGAAUUCCUAGUGUAGAGGUGAAAUUCGUAGAUAUUAGGAAGAGCACCGGUGGCGAAGGCGGCCCACUGGAUCGGUACUGACGCUGAGGUGCGAAAGCGUGGGGAGCAAACAGG
rnacentral:rRNA from 1 species